AGACCUGAAAUCAGUCGAGGUUACCCGCCGAAUUUAAGCAUAUUACUAAGCGGAGGAAAAGAAAAUAACAAUGAUUCCCCUCGUAACGGCGAGUGAAGCGGGAAGAGCUCAAAGAGAAAAUCGUGAGUCCCGCUUUGGCCUCACGAAUUCUAGCCUCUAGAGGCGUUACCAGUGGGCGGGCAGGUCUAAGUUUCUUGGAAAAGAACAUCAGAGAUGGUGACAGUCCAGUCCUUUUUCUUGCUUGUUGUUGCCCACGUACGGCACGCUUUUAUUGAGUCGCGUUCAUUGGGAUUUGAGCGCAAAAUGUGUGAUAAGUUUCACAUAAAGCUAAAUAUUGG
rnacentral:ncRNA from 1 species